rnacentral:sRNA from 1 species
UAUUCUGCCCUACAGGGAAGGAUGAGAAGCUUCGACUAAGGUUCGACUCGAGCGAAGCGAGAGAACGUUGCCGCAGGCAACGGCCCGAAGGGCGAGGCGCUUUA